rnacentral:rRNA from 1 species
GACGAACGCUGGCGGCGUGCUUAACACAUGCAAGUCGAACGGAAAGGCCCUGCUUUUGUGGGGUGCUCGAGUGGCGAACGGGUGAGUAACACGUGAGUAACCUGCCCUUGACUUUGGGAUAACUUCAGGAAACUGGGGCUAAUACCGGAUAGGAGCUCCUGCUGCAUGGUGGGGGUUGGAAAGUUUCGGCGGUUGGGGAUGGACUCGCGGCUUAUCAGCUUGUUGGUGGGGUAGUGGCUUACCAAGGCUUUGACGGGUAGCCGGCCUGAGAGGGUGACCGGCCACAUUGGGACUGAGAUACGGCCCAGACUCCUACGGGAGGCAGCAGUGGGGAAUAUUGCACAAUGGGCGGAAGCCUGAUGCAGCAACGCCGCGUGCGGGAUGACGGCCUUCGGGUUGUAAACCGCUUUCGCCUGUGACGAAGCGUGAGUGACGGUAAUGGGUAAAGAAGCACCGGCUAACUACGUGCCAGCAGCCGCGGUGAUACGUAGGGUGCGAGCGUUGUCCGGAUUUAUUGGGCGUAAAGGGCUCGUAGGUGGUUGAUCGCGUCGGAAGUGUAAUCUUGGGGCUUAACCCUGAGCGUGCUUUCGAUACGGGUUGACUUGAGGAAGGUAGGGGAGAAUGGAAUUCCUGGUGGAGCGGUGGAAUGCGCAGAUAUCAGGAGGAACACCAGUGGCGAAGGCGGUUCUCUGGGCCUUUCCUGACGCUGAGGAGCGGAAGCGUGGGGAGCGAACAGGCUUAGAUACCCUGGUAGUCCACGCUGUAAACGGUGGGUACUAGGUGUGGGGUCCAUUCCACGGGUUCCGUGCCGUAGCUAACGCUUUAAGUACCCCGCCUGGGGAGUACGGCCGCAAGGCUAAAACUCAAAGGAAUUGACGGGGCCCCGCACAAGCGGCGGAGCAUGCGGAUUAAUUCGAUGCAACGCGUAGAACCUUACCUGGGUUUGACAUGGAUCGGGAGUGCUCAGAGAUGGGUGUGCCUCUUUUGGGGUCGGUUCACAGGUGGUGCAUGGCUGUCGUCAGCUCGUGUCGUGAGAUGUUGGGUUAAGUCCCGCAACGAGCGCAACCCUUGUUCACUGUUGCCAGCACGUUAUGGUGGGGACUCAGUGGAGACCGCCGGGGUCAACUCGGAGGAAGGUGGGGAUGACGUCAAGUCACCAUGCCCCUUAUGUCCAGGGCUUCACGCAUGCUACAAUGGCUGGUACAGAGAGUGGCGAGCCUGUGAGGGUGAGCGAAUCUCGGAAAGCCGGUCUCAGUUCGGAUUGGGGUCUGCAACUCGACCUCAUGAAGUCGGAGUCGCUAGUAAACGCAGAUCAGCAACGCUGCGGUGAAUACGUUCCCGGGGCU